rnacentral:rRNA from 1 species
GACGAACGCUGGCGGCGCGCUUAACACAUGCAAGUCGAACGGUGANCCGGGCUUCGGCCCGGGGAUCAGUGGCGAACGGGUGCGUACCACGUGGGCAACCUGCCCCCGACCCUGGGAUAACCCCGGGAGACCGGAGCUAAUACCGGAUACUCUCCUCCGCUCGCAUGACCGGAGGAGGAAAGGUCCGCCGGUCGGGGAUGGGCCCNCGGCCUAUCAGCUCGUUGGUGGGGUAACGGCCCACCAAGGCGACGACGGGUAGCUGGUCUGAGAGGACGACCAGCCACACUGGGACUGAGACACGGCCCAGACUCCUACGGGAGGCAGCAGUGGGGAAUCUUGCGCAAUGGGCGAAAGCCUGACGCAGCGACGCCGCGUGGGGGAUGUAGGCCCUUAGGGUCGUAAACCCCUUUCGGCAGGGUCGAAGCGAUUCACGUGACGGUACCUGCAGAAGAAGCUUCGGCUAAUUACGUGCCAGCAGCCGCGNAAACACGUAGGAGGCGAGCGUUGUCCGGAUUCAUUGGGCGUAAAGAGCGCGCAGGCGGCUUGCCAAGUCGGGUGUGAAAUCCCGGGGCUCAACCCCGGGAUUGCAUCCGAUACUGUCGGGCUAGAGGUAGGUAGGGGAGAUCGGAAUUCUUGGUGUAGCGGUGAAAUGCGCAGAUAUCAGGAGGAACACCGGUGGCGAAGGCGGAUUUCUGGNCCUUACCUGACGUUCAGGCGCGAAAGCUAGGGGAGCGAACAGGAUUAGAUACCCUGGUAGUCCUANCCGUAAACGUUGGGUGCUAGGUGUGGGCGGAUAUCGACCCCGUCCGUGCCGAAGCUAACGCAUUAAGCACCCCGC